CCUACGGGAGGCAGCAGUGGGGAAUAUUGGGCAAUGGGCGCAAGCCUGACCCAGCAACGCCGCGUGAAGGAAGAAGGCCCUCGGGUUGUAAACUUCUUUUGUCAGGGACGCAGCAAGUGACGGUACCUGACGAAUAAGCCACGGCUAACUACGUUCCAGCAGCCGCGGUAAUACGGAGGGGGCAAGCGUUAUCCGGAUUUCCUGGGUGUAAAGGGCGUGUAGGCGGGGAAGCAAGUCAGGUGGGAAUUUCCAGGGCUCAACCCUGGUACUGCAGUUGAAACUGUUUUUCUUGAGUGAUGGAGAGGCAGGCGGAAUUCGGGGUGUAGCGGUGAAAUGCGUAGAUAUACGGCGGAACACCGAUGGCGAAGGCAGCCUGCUGGACAUCAACUGACGCUGAGGCGCGAAAGCGUGGGGAGCAAACAGGAUUAGAUACCCGGGUAGUC
rnacentral:rRNA from 1 species